AUCCAGCUGACGAGUCUCAAAUAGGACGAAACGCGCGUCCUGGAU
rfam:Schistosoma mansoni strain Puerto Rico chromosome 1, complete genome